ACUUAGUGGCAGACGGGUGAGUAACAUGUGGGUAUCUGCCCUUUGGCCUGGAAUAACACGAGGAAACUUGUGCUAAUACCGGAUAAGUCUUUACGGAGAAAGCUUUAUGCACCAUUGGAUGAGCCCGCACUUGAUUAGUUUGUUGGUAGGGUAAUGGCCUACCAAGACUUUGAUCAAUAGCUGAUUUGAGAGGAUGAUCAGCCACAUUGGGACUGAGACACGGCCCAAACUCCUACGGGAGGCAGCAGUGGGGAAUCUUGCACAAUGGAGGAAACUCUGAUGCAGCGAUGCCGCGUGAGUGAAUCAGGCCUUUGGUUUGUAAAGCUCUUUCGUCGUGGAAGAA
rnacentral:rRNA from 1 species